rnacentral:lncRNA from 1 species
GAGUUUCACCGCGGACCUGUCAGAGAUACAGAGGUUGUGGGGGCGGGAGACAGAAAGAGAGAGAGAUCCAGAGACCGAGUCUUACGUUGACACGCAGAGAGAAAGACGCAGAGACAGACAAACAAACAGAUAGGAGAGUGUUUAACUGCUGAAGAGAUCUUUUCCCUUCAUGGCUUUUCAAAUGCUACCCAAAUAACCAGCUCCAAAUUCUCUGUCAUCUGUCCAGCAGUCUUACAGCAAUUGAACUUUCACCCAUGUGAGGAUCGGCCCAAGCACAAAACAAGACCAAGUCAUUCAGAAGUUUGGGGAUAUGGAUUCCUGUCAGUGACGAUUAUUAAUCUGGCAUCUCUCCUCGGAUUGAUUUUGACUCCACUGAUAAAGAAAUCUUAUUUCCCAAAGAUUUUGACCUUUUUUGUGGGGCUGGCUAUUGGGACUCUUUUUUCAAAUGCAAUUUUCCAACUUAUUCCAGAGGCAUUUGGAUUUGAUCCCAAAGUCGACAGUUAUGUUGAGAAGGCAGUUGCUGUGUUUGGUGGAUUUUACCUACUUUUCUUUUUUGAA